GGGCUUGCUUCGGCAGCACAUAUACUAAAAUUGGAACGAUACAGAGAAGAUUAACAUGGCCCCUGUGCAAGGAUGACACGCAAAUUCGUGAAGCAUUCCUUUAAAUA